rnacentral:lncRNA from 1 species
UGGCUGAGAUAAUAUGUAAUUACUGUUUUAUAAAAUUACAAAUAAUUCAUUAUAAUAAAUGUCAAAUUCCCCAAAAAUAAGGCAAUGUUUCAUCCGACUACCUCAAAAUAUGAUGAAGUUUAGUAACAUGUAAAUUUUUGAAAUCAAAUGAUUUUGUUUCCGAAGUACAUAAUCAUGAAUUUUGCAACUAUUGAAAAAAUUGUGGUAUACACAAACCUUUAAAUAGUCAUAAUGUCUACAACUGUUAUUCAAUUUAUUUUGAAGACAUCUCUAAUUGAAUUAAAUAGAUAUUAAUUUUUAAAUAAUUGACCUUUUUUUUUCAUAUGAUGAAAUAAGUGUUUAUAUAGUAUAUUUAUAUAAUGACGUGUAAUUCAUUAAUAAUACAAUUUCUUUAGAAUUAAUUACAUUCAAAGUUAAAAAUUGAAUACAAUUUGACCAAGAUAUAGUUUGAUCCACAAAUUCUAAUUCAAAGGGGGCAGCAAAAUUUGAACUAGAGACUUUGGGUUGUGUGUUAAAAAUCUACAUUUAAACUAAAUUUAAUCAUAUUCUGAGUUGUAUAGAGUAGAAACCUAUGUGUCGAUUUGAUGUAAUGAUUUAUUAUUAUAUAUUUAUAUAUACAUUGGGACGUAAAGUUUAUGACGGAAUCCCGUCCAACCUACUUGCAUAUCCUCCCUACCUAUCCAUGAUUGAACUUCCACAACUAUUUUUCCCUCAUCUAAAGUAUUCAUUCAUUUGAUAAUUAUAUUUCUGCCAAAUAAAAGUAAGACACACAAUUAUUGAUAAUCAAUUAAUUAUUAUUAUUAUUCAAUAUGGAAAAUGUGAAAACUCAACCUUACUACUUGUCUAAUUAAUUAGUGUAAAAGUACUCCUUUUCUUUCUCUCUCUAUACAUAAUUAGUUAAUAGCCUAAUUCCAAUUUACUGAAUGGAAACUAAGAAUUUACUGACCUUGCAUAUUAUUCUUGAAUGCUUUAUAUAUUUCUCAUAAUACAAAAAGAUUAUUUUAUAUAAAACUAUCUUCAAUACUGUCAGCUAUUUCCUCAUUCAAUUAUGUCACCAUCCGCCAGUAUCUAUGCCAGUAAUUAUUUGUUUAAAAGAGACUCA